ACGGUAUGCUUAACACAUGCAAGUCGAACGGACUCAGGGAGCUUGCUCCCGAAAGUUAGUGGCAGACGGGUGAGUAACGCGUGGGGAUCUGCCUAUCAGUACGGGAUAACAUUUGGAAACAAAUGCUAAUACCGCAUACGCUCUUCGGAGGAAAGAUUUAUCGCUGAUAGAUGAGCCCGCGUAAGAUUAGGUAGUUGGUAGGGUAAUGGCCUACCAAGCCGACGAUCUUUAGCUGGUCUGUGAGGAUGAUCAGCCACACUGGGACUGAGACACGGCCCAGACUCCUACGGGAGGCAGCAGUGGGGAAUAUUGGACAAUGGGCGAAAGCCUGAUCCAGCAAGACCGCGUGAGUGAUGAAGGCCUUAGGGUUGUAAAGCUCUUUCAGUUGGAAAGAUAAUUACGGUACCAACAGAAGAAGCACCGGCUAACUACGUGCCAGCCGCCGCGGUAA
rnacentral:rRNA from 1 species